AAGGUUAAAAGUGCUAGCGAAAAAACUUCAAGGUUUAAAGUGCUAGUAAGUGACACUUUCAAGGUUUUUUAUGCGAUUUUCCCUAACAUAUUUGAUAAGAGAAAGCCCGUUUCAACUCAAAAAUGGGCCAUGUGCUAUAAAAGAAUUUGAAAUUUAUUUCCUCGUACAAAAAUAGCUUAUAAAAAGCUGGACCAUAAUCUAAGCUAAAAAAACCCAAAAUUUACAAUGGAUCAUGUGCAAAUGUACUUCCAGCAUAUGAUUAGAGCAUCAAGAAUUUGUGUUUUUGGUCGUUUUUUGUAAAUCAGAUAUAUCCAACACACAAAGAGCUAUAGCACUACAAAAUCCUUCCCAAAACAAAUGAUACACUGAGGUAUAUGCUCAUCAAAAAAAGAACUUUUAUGUAAAUUGAUAUCUGUAUUAGAGAUUUAUCUUAAACUAAAGUUUCUUUCGCUUCACAUGAAUUGCCUUCACUGAGAGGAUUUAAUUUUCAUUACCUUACUUUGAUGAUUCUCAGUAAAUGCAGUGGACACUAAAUUCCAACGUCACUGUGAUUUUCUCUUAUCAUUUGGUUUGUAAGGAAGGAUUUCUGAAACCAAGCCUAUGAAUUAUAUUGCUAGAUCAAGGACGAUUUUCUGGCUGCAGGAUUGAAUACAGUCAAGAACAGGGCUCAAGUUAACAAAUAUUUGUUCAAACAAGAGCAAGACAAGGUCGUCUCAUUAACGAAAACUAUAUAUCAGAGAUUAUGUAGUCAAGCAUCAUGUUUUCAUUCUCAUUUCUGAAGGCCCAAAGGGAUCUAGAGAGUAUUCGUGAAGUCUACACUCUGUUAAAGAUUGACCUCUCAGCUUUUCUUUGAUAUCAACUUUUCCAAGCUGGUGUAUUGACUCUUUUCAGUCCCUUUGCAAGCAAAAUGUGGUACAUCUUCUGCAAUACUAUACGUUGACAACAAAUAUAAGAAAUUUAUAGCUUUGUGUUAACCAUUCGGAGAUAUAGAAAUGGAGGUUCAUUUUGAGUGGAGAUCACAAAAGGGACAUAGUCUCAAAGGUUGUUGAGUUCUUCCUUGAGAUCAACACUGUGAGGAUUCACCAGAUCGAUAUUUAUGGCUCUUGCAGAGCUCCUAAAACUUUGGGGAUCA